GGGUACGGGCCCUGAGAGGGGGAGCCCGGAGAUGGCACUGAGACAAGGGUCUAGGCCCUAAGGGGCGCAGCAGGCGCGAAGAUUCCGCAAUGCCCGAAAGGGCGACGGAGUGAACCCGAGUGCCACCCGCUGAGGGUGGCUGUUCCCCUGUGUAAAAAGCAGGGGGCAGGAAGGGGAGGGCAAGGCUGGUGGCAGCCGCCGCGGUAAAACCAGCUCCCCGAGGGGUUCCCACGCAUACUGGGCCUAAAGCGUCCGUAGCCGGCCCUGUAAGUCUGCAGUUAAAUCCGCCUGUAGACAGGCGGGUUGCUGCAGAUACUGCCGGGCUAGGGGGCGGGAGAGGCCGCCGGUACUCCGGGGGUAGGGGCGAAAUCCGUUAACCCCCGGAGGACCACCAGUGGCGAAAGCGGGCGGCCAGAACGCGCCCGACGGUGAGGGGCGAAAGC
rnacentral:rRNA from 1 species